UACGUAGGGGGCGAGCGUUGUCCGGAUUUAUUGGGCGUAAAGAGCGUGUAGGCGCCAGGUAGGUCCGUUGUGAAAACUCGAGGCUCAACCUCGAGACGUCGAUGGAAACCAUCUGGCUAGAGUCCGGAAGAGGAGAGUGGAAUUCCUGGUGUAGCGGUGAAAUGCGCAGAUAUCAGGAAGAACACCUAUGGCGAAGGCAGCUCUCUGGGACGGUACUGACGCUGAGACGCGAAAGCGUGGGGGGAGCGAACAGG
rnacentral:rRNA from 1 species